UACAGCAGCCCUAGGAAACAAAUGUGCAUGAAGUAUGAUCAUUGCACCCAAAAAGGAAAAAAUAUCUCUGGGUCUCUGUUCUCACAUCUGCAAAGUGAGAAAUGGACCAAAUGAUAUAGACAGCUUCUUCUACCUUAACAGUCCCAGAAGUCUGCCCAAUCUCUCUAUCAGAAAUUCACAUCAAUCUGAUGAGGAGCAAAGACUCAGAAAUAUGGACUGUCAGAGACUCCGGAAAUCUGGCAUCUAACAAGCAGUCCACAGAAUUAUGAAUAACACCAAAACAUGAUUCCUCACCACAAAAAGUUUCAUGGGAAGCAUGGCCCAGCAGACACUUGGACUUCAGAUUUCUAAUCUCCAGAACUGGCGGCGUCACAGGGACACCAGUACAAGCCGAAAAAGAAGACAAGUACUAACAGAAGCCGAGAGAGAAGCAAGAGAAGCAGAGACCAAGAGAAGGCCGGAGAGCCCAUAGUGAAGACCUGCUGAGGGCUGGGAGGCCUGCCAGCCUGCCAGCCUCCCAGCCCCCCAGCGCCCCUGCCUGCCGUGUACCUGGUAAUCCUAAUAAA